UUCAGAAAAGUUGUAAGAAUAUUACAAUAUAGUUCCUUGAUCAUAUAAACAAAGGUUGUCUGUUAAGUCCUUGGUGGAAAAUGGCCAUAAAAGGGUUAAAUACAGUUAGCUUCAUAUAGAAGUAGGAGGUAGGAAUUAGAAGCAGGUAGACUAGCAAAGAAAUCAGUGGAUUGCAUUAAUUGCUUAAGCCUUCCACUGUGGCUGAGAGUGACCACCACACUGUAGAGAAAAUAAUGAUUUGAUAUCUUAAGAGCCUUCAUCACCACAGUAUUCAUAAUGCUCAAAACUUACAGUUUAAUGCAGCUUUUCCGUUUGAGAUGUAGAAUGCUUGACAACUGUUUACCAAUACAAUUUUAUAUUUGCUUGACAUACAGAUACAUAUUUUUAACCUGAGAAUUUUCUUCUGUUCCAAGUUACCUUGUAAAUUCUGUAUAAGUACCUGCUUUGUUAAACACCCCUAAAUUUGCAUUUUGAUGCAUUACUGAUUUAUAUCAUGUCUGUUACCAUUAUACUGAGAGGGAAUGAUAUAUACAAGAGAUGAUAUAUAUACCAAAACACUUACUGCAUAUGCCCAGAACGUCAAUACACUGUUUUUGCCAAAAGAACCACCAAGUAUUAAAGAAAAAUAAAAACUAAGUGAAUUUUUAAGAGUCAAAUUAAGUUCAGAGUUACCAGUUACUUUUGGGAAUCUGACAACAUGCUUUUUUCCUUGCAAUCUGAGAUCAGAUUUUCUUUGAUAAUUAAGCAACUACAGAUGUAAGAAAACUUUGUUGGCAGUAACCCAAAGUAGGCCUGCAUAGUAUUCUAUCA
rnacentral:lncRNA from 1 species